rnacentral:rRNA from 1 species
GAUGAACGCUGGCGGCGUGCCUAAUACAUGCAAGUCGAGCGAACAGACGAGGAGCUUGCUCCUCUGACGUUAGCGGCGGACGGGUGAGUAACACGUGGAUAACCUACUUAUAAGACUGGGAUAACUUCGGGAAACCGGAGCUAAUACCAGAUAACAUGUUGAACCGCAUGGUUCAACAGUGAGAGACGGUCUUGCUGUCACUUAUAGAUGGAUCCGCGCCGCAUUAGCUAGUUGGUAAGGUAACGGCUUACCAAGGCAACGAUGCGUAGCCGACCUGAGAGGGUGAUCGGCCACACUGGAACUGAGACACGGUCCAGACUCCUACGGGAGGCAGCAGUAGGGAAUCUUCCGCAAUGGGCGAAAGCCUGACGGAGCAACGCCGCGUGAGUGAUGAAGGUCUUCGGAUCGUAAAACUCUGUUAUUAGGGAAGAACAAAUGUGUAAGUAACUAUGCACGUCUUGACGGUACCUAAUCAGAAAGCCACGGCUAACUACGUGCCAGCCGCCGCAGUAA